rnacentral:lncRNA from 1 species
GAUAAAUGACCUGAAACGGGCUAUUGGUGUACAACGAAUAGGAGUCCCUCCCCUUUUUCUCUUUGAUACAAGUCACUAGAUUGAAGUCACCUACCAUAAGGGAAUGUAAGGAAGAAGCCGAAUCAAGUCUAAGAGAGCCGAGAGUUGCAUUGCUCGAAUUGAGUCCAAACAGUUUAAGUAGACACACACUAUUAGUAUCUCCAUUCCAUUAGGUAGUAGUACACGGAGAGCAAUAAAAAAAGUGUCUGAAGCAACCACAUGACAUGGAUAAUCAUUAUGCCAAGCAAUUGCAGUCCACCAGCAUAAGUACUAGUACAAUCAAUAAUAAAAUUAUUAUUACGAAAGAACCCCAAAGAGCGAAAAUGAUUAUCUUUUUGUGUAGAAAAAGUACAGGCCAGGUCCUGCAUCUCAGGGUCGGCCGCCAAGAUAGAAUCCUCAUCCAACAGCUCGCCAAAGUAGAAUGUGAUAAUGCCAGUUUCGGUAAGUACCUGGUCAGGGUAGGCAUGAAGGCGCUUCACAGAAGUUGAAGGAUCCUCAAAAUCUUAUGGUCAAGGUCUUUUAUGGUCCGAGAGCAUGAGGUGCUCCAAUUCUGUGGCAGGCAAACAUAGAGAACCAUUAAGGUUAGUUCGAGUAGAUAGAGAAGGAGAUACCAUCUUGCAAAAUUUUAGAAUCUAAAACACGAAAAGGCUGAUAAUUAAUGCAUGAAGAGUAUUAAAAAAUAAAUAGUUUACGAGUUGACACAGACAACUGAUCCGAGUCCGACCUAUCAUCAGAGAAAGUUGUCAAGAAGAAUUUAUAAAAAUAUGGGGAGGGGUGGCACCCGGAAAUGCCAGCAGUUCCAAAAAAAUAGAUAAGGACUUGAAAAAACGAGUAAGAUUGAUACAAGUAGCUAUAGAUGACCAACUUGUGGCAUAUCCGAAACAGGAAGAUCCGCUGGUGAGUCAAGCACCAUAUCCCUAGAGGAGGAUUCCAUACUAUUUCCCGCUGGACCGGAAGAGAGUUUGGAGAGAAAAGGCUGUUGAAAGAUGUAGGGGAGUGGUUUGUGACACACCUGCUUCGACCUGGAAGAAGAAGCCAGAGAGCCCGAAGCUUACGAAAGCUGAAGAUUCUUAACCAAAAAUCCUAGGUAACGAACUGACAUCCAUAGUCCACAAUCAGCCAGAUCCGUUGUUAUGAUAUCCCUAUAAGGACAACGACGAUUAACAUGACCUAGGAGACCACAAAUAUAACAGAUGGAGGCAACUUUUUCAUAGCGUAAGUGGACCUAGAAAGGUCAUUCAUCCGUAUCACCGCCUCAAUCCGACCGGGAAACUGGAGAGAAGACCCAUAAGAACAGUCACUUUAACAAAGUGAGGUCCCAAAUCACCUUCGUUGGUUGAAAAAACGGCAGAAAUGACAAUUGUACCCAACUAAUGAACCAGUUUGAAAACAACAGGGCAGGACUUCAAUAUGAAUCUUGAUAGGCAUGAACUGCAACAUGUCAAAUAGAUUCUUGCUCGGAGGUUCCCAAUGAAUCAGGUGGAUGAUAAAGUACUUGAAACUCCAUGGUUGGUCCGCCAAGACAGCAUCACGAGACUCCAUCAAAGGGAGAACAAAAUGAAGCAGGCCGUGACCUAGUUUAAUGAUUGACAGGUUCCGAGGAUUUAACUUCCAUUGGUGAGCUAGAUCCUGAGUAACAACAUGCAUAAGCUUCAGUAGGGCCAAAAGAUGUGGCCAACCAAACUGUAGCGACGACGGUCAGGCCCGUCUUUUACAUCCUCCCAAGAGAAAGCCACCGAGAUCUUCGUCAAUGAUACCUUCGGCGGUAUGCUUGCCAUCGUGAUCCCAAAAUGAUUACAGAUACCAAUGGCUAAGUACAAUCAUGAGAAUUGAGCGAAAAAGUGUGAAGUAGAAUAGAAGAAAAACAAUUGAGCAGAUGGCCCUAAUAUAUGAAAUGGGAUGAUGGCGGUUAACCUUACCAAAGAAAAGGAAUAAUGCCAACCAGGAAAACCCAGAGAAAACUACGAGUAGUUAAGAGCGAGAUGCCGAAAGAUCUAACUGUCGGCAAACAAUAGAUAAGGGGCGAAAGGGCCAAAAAAAUCGGUGUGUGUGAGAAAUAAGAGAUGGCCAAAUUAACUGGAAAAGACGAAGCCGAAGAAAGCGCGGAAGAGGCUGUGAUUACUUCACUCCUUGGGAUGCCAGAAACAGAACUAUAUGCAACAGAGGGUUGGAAGACGAGCAGAAAGUUAAGCAGGGAGGGGAAAACAUGAAGGAGAGACUAGAGAGAAUUGCCAUCAUCCAUAUUAUUAUUAUUAUUAUUAUUAUUAUUCUAAUUCUAAUAAUAAUACAACACCCCGAAGUAGCCCAGGGGAUUCAGGGCCUGGGUUUCCAGGCUAACCGGUGUCCGAACCAGUCAAAAUCGGAUAACAUAAGCCUGUUAACUCGUAUCUUACUUAUUAGGGCCGGGCUUUGGGUAGUGGGUUAGGUCCAAUUGCGGGUAUUGGGUUUUUCCAGGUAAAACCCGAUUACAGCCCGGUUAACUGGUAAUUGGACCAGUUGCAUAAAAAAAACAACUACAACAUUUUCUCCAGCUUUCUUCCCUUUCUUAUAAACAAGAACUGCACAUUUCAAAAAAUAUACAUUUAAGAGUUGCACAUUUCUAGAAAUAUAUCCAUAUGUUCAUCAUUAAUCAACCCAACUAGGCAUUUGUUCAAUAUUUCCACUAGAUAUUUCCUACCACCAAAUUACAUACACCAAUAGAACAUAAAUACAAUUUGUAGUUGUUGCUCCGAUUCCUACAAAAGGGUUGUCGUGGCUCAGAUUUAGAGUUUAUGGCUGCAAUUUUUGAAAAUAAUACAGUUAAUGGUUGUUCAUAGAUUUAAAGGAACAAUCAAAUAUUGACACGAAAAUAGUAUAUAACGAAAAUAGUUACCUGGCAUACAUUAACCUAAUAACUGAGCAUUAUAAAAGAUAGCAACAUUAGAACCACCAAUGACUGAAUCAUUCUUCGUCGUAUCCUAAAAAAUAGAAUGUACUUCUGAUUUAUAACUCAUAAGGGCUAACAGAAUAGAUUGGAAUUUAGAUUUGCAAAAUAAAACCAACAUUACGAAAGCUAAGCUACUUCAAGUUUGUAAUUCAGAACCAUUAUGAUCACUAAUUAAUACCUUCUAACUCAUAAGAGUUUGCGUCAUCAAAAGGUAAAACAAUUUCAAAUUCUGAACUUGAUUCACCCCAAUCUACAGCAGUAUCAGCACUUGUUGUUGCAGGAGCACUUGUAGUUGCAGCAACACUUGUAUUUGUAGUAGCAUUCGCAUUUCCAGUUGCUGAAAUUACUGGAUUGAAUCUUGCAUCUUGAGAGCAAGCAAUAGCCACUACAAAUAAUCAAGAGCCAUUAACAAAUAACAAAUAAUCAAAAGCCAAUAACCAAGAGCAUUACCUUCCUCCAAUUCGUCAUCAGGUAACAACAAAAAUUAGAGAAUCUAAGCCAAUCUUCUGCACAUAUGAGAGCCUCUACAAUUACAUGAUUUAACGAACUCCUAAAUGAGUCUAGCACACGACCACUAGUACUAAAUGCGGACUCAUAGGGCACGAUGGAUAUAGGAACCGCUAAAAUGUCCUUGACCAUGUCACUUAACACAAGAUAUCUCACACCAUAAUCCUUCCACCAACCUAAUAUAUAUCAAACUGAUUCUCGGGAUCGUCAAUAGUACAUGUUUGUUCAUGUGGCAGCGAUAAAUAGAUCUCCAAGUCACUUCGUGGAGAAACAACCUCAACCACUAAAUAGUCAAGAAAAAAUUGCUUCCUAUAUGGGUUCCAUGUACUCAUUGGUAGAAGAGAAACAUUUGAAGUACUACGUGUUGAGUGAGAAGUUGACUCGUGAGAAGCAUUGGCUGCUUUGUGUUUGUCUUCAUAAUGUGCAUAUAACUCAUUCAGAUCUUCCGUCAUCUCUUGCAUCAAUUCUGCUGCUCGUCAUUGACCAUACAAUUUGACAAAAAGCAUAUCUAGGAAAUCCAAUUUGAGCCUAGGGUCAAACAUAACAUCAAUGUAGCACAAUUUAUUCAACCUUGAGUUUUCCCUUCUUCCUCGCACCAAUAUUUGUUUACUUUCUUCAUCAUUUUCCAGCCAUGUUUUUGACACCUUCAUCGCGACUACGCUCCAUCUCUCUAAUUUGAAGGAAAACUAUAGUAACUUCUCCUAAAAAUAGAUGAGUUGUGACAUAUGAAGUACCUGAAGCAAACACUAUCAUAUCUUGAAAAAAAUUGAAGGUAUGGAAGCAAGUUCCUAAUACUCUCCGAGUCAGCAUGUGUCUGAGGACCCGAUGUAAUGCCUUUAUAGUUCUUCUGCAUUAGAUCAUUUCUAUAGUCAAAAUCUAUCGACUCAAGUGAAUUAAAAGGAUUCUUAAAAUCAGCCACCUUUAACAUCAAAUAGGUGGAAUUCCAUCUUGUAGCCAAACACACCAACUUCUUACUUUGAAUCCUCUGCAAAAAUACACAUUCUUUGCAUUUUCCCAUCUAGCUGGUUAGCUGUGAACAUAUUGCAUAGCUUCACGGACUCGCCUAACUGACAUGGCAACCUGCUCCAAUCCGUCUCCUACAAUCAGAUUCGUUAUAUGUGCAAUGCAACACAUAUGCACAUAUUUUCCUCCAAGUACUCGAGUCCCCCAAUCCUUGAAUUUAUUUAACAAAUGAUAAAUUGCAGUAUCAUUUGUAGAAGCAUUGUCCACAAAUUAUUGAGAAAAUGUUCUUCAAAUUACAUUCCUCAAGAAAAGAUGGAACAACCGCUGCAAUGACACACCCCUUACGACUGAAAAUUCUGCAACUCUUUCAUAGCGUAAGUGGACCUAGAAAGGUCGUUCAUCCGUAUCACCGCCUCAAUCCGACCAGGGAAACUGGAGAGAAGACCCAUCAGAA